rnacentral:rRNA from 1 species
CCUACGGGGGGCAGCAGUGGGGAAUCUUCCGCAAUGGACGAAAGUCUGACGGAGCAACGCCGCGUGAGUGAUGAAGGUCUUCGGAUUGUAAAGCUCUGUUAAUCGGGACGAAAGAGUUCUGUGUGAAUAAUGCAGAAAAGUGACGGUACCGGAAUAGAAAGCCACGGCUAACUACGUGCCAGCAGCCGCGGUAAUACGUAGGUGGCAAGCGUUGUCCGGAAUUAUUGGGCGUAAAGCGCGCGCAGGCGGCCUAUCCAGUCUGUCUUAAAAGUUCGGGGCUCAACCCCGUGAUGGGAUGGAAACUAGUAGGCUAGAGUAUCGGAGAGGAAAGCGGAAUUCCUAGUGUAGCGGUGAAAUGCGUAGAUAUUAGGAAGAACACCAGUGGCGAAGGCGGCUUUCUGGACGAAAACUGACGCUGAGGCGCGAAAGCCAGGGGAGCGAACGGGAUUAGAUACCCUGGUAGUC